UACGUAGGGGGCUAGCGUUGUCCGGAUUUAUUGGGCGUAAAGGGCGUGUAGGCGGCCAUGUAGGUCCGGUGUGAAAACUCGAGGCUUAACCUCGAGAUGUCAUCGGAAACCAUUUGGCUAGAGUCCGGAAGAGGAGAGUGGAAUUCCUGGUGUAGCGGUGAAAUGCGCAGAUAUCAGGAGGAACACCGGUGGCGAAGGCGGGUCUCUGGGCAGUAACUGACGCUGAGGAGCGAAAGCGUGGGGAGCGAACAGG
rnacentral:rRNA from 1 species